rnacentral:rRNA from 1 species
AACGUAGGUGGCAAGCGUUAUCCGGAAUUACUGGGCGUAAAGGGUGUGCAGGCGGGGAAGCAAGUGGUGUAUGAAAUCUCCCAGCUUAAUUGGGAUAGGUUAUGCCAGACUGCUUUUCUAGAGGACGAGAGAGGGGGGUGGAAUUCCGGGUGUAGUGGUGAAAUGCGUAGAGAGUCCGGAGGCAACCCCAGAGGCGAAGGCGGCCCCCUGGCUCGUACCUGACGCUCAGCCACGAAAGGCAUGGGGAGCGAACGGG